UACGAAGGGUGCAAGCGUUACUCGGAAUUACUGGGCGUAAAGCGUGCGUAGGUGGUUCGUUAAGUCUGAUGUGAAAGCCCUGGGCUCAACCUGGGAAUUGCAUUGGAUACUGGCGGGCUAGAGUGCGGUAGAGGAUAGUGGAAUUCCCGGUGUAGCAGUGAAAUGCGUAGAGAUCGGGAGGAACAUCUGUGGCGAAGGCGACUAUCUGGGCCAGCACUGACACUGAGGCACGAAAGCGUGGGGAGCAAACAGG
rnacentral:rRNA from 1 species